UACCUGGUUGAUCCUGCCAGUAGUCAUAUGCUUGUCUCAAAGAUUAAGCCAUGCAUGUCUCAGUAUAAGCUUUUACACGGCGAAACUGCGAAUGGCUCAUUAAAACAGUUAUAGUUUAUUUGAUGGUCACACCCUACUUGGAUAACCGUGGUAAUUCUAGAGCUAAUACAUGCGCCCAAACCCGACUUCGCGGAAGGGUUGUGUUUAUUAGAUACAGAACCAACCUAGUCUCUGACUGGUCCUUUGGUGAUUCAUGAUAACCGAACGAAUCGCAUGGCGUCAGCCGGCGAUGAAUCAUUCAAGUUUCUGACCUAUCAGCUUCCGACGGUAGGGUAUUGGCCUACCGUGGCAUUGACGGGUAACGGAGAAUUAGGGUUCGAUUCCGGAGAGGGAGCCUGAGAAACGGCUACCACAUCUAAGGAAGGCAGCAGGCGCGUAAAUUACCCAAUCCUGACUCAGGGAGGUAGUGACAAGAAAUAACGGACCGGUUCCUUCGGACUCGGGAUUGCAAUGAGCCGAAUUUACACCCCUUAGCGAGGAUCGAUUGGAGGGCAAGUCUGGUGCCAGCAGCCGCGGUAAUUCCAGCUCCAAUAGC
rnacentral:rRNA from 1 species